rnacentral:rRNA from 1 species
UACGGAGGGUGCAAGCGUUAUCCGGAUUCACUGGGUUUAAAGGGUGCGUAGGCGGACAGGUAAGUCCGUGGUGAAAUCUCUGAGCUUAACUCAGAAACUGCCAUGGAUACUAUUUGUCUUGAAUAUUGUGGAGGUAAGCGGAAUAUGUCAUGUAGCGGUGAAAUGCUUAGAUAUGACAUAGAACACCAAUUGCGAAGGCAGCUUACUACACAGUAAUUGACGCUGAGGCACGAAAGCGUGGGGAUCAAACAGG